UACGAAGGGGGCUAGCGUUGCUCGGAAUUACUGGGCGUAAAGGGCGCGUAGGCGGACAGUUUAGUCAGAGGUGAAAGCCCAGGGCUCAACCUUGGAACUGCCUUUGAUACUGACUGUCUUGAGUUCGGGAGAGGUGAGUGGAAUGCCGAGUGUAGAGGUGAAAUUCGUAGAUAUUCGGCGGAACACCAGUGGCGAAGGCGACUCACUGGCCCGAUACUGACGCUGAGGCGCGAAAGCGUGGGGAGCAGACAGG
rnacentral:rRNA from 1 species